rnacentral:lncRNA from 1 species
AAUAGCAGGUGCAAAAAUGCCUCUUUUUCAGCAAGGUUGAAGUUGGGAAUGUCCUUUCAAAUCAGAAAAAAUAGGCCAUAGACUCAUUCCCCAGCACAGAUGAACAUUCUGUGAAAUGGUACUGGCCCCAGGAGGACUUCAACCGUUCCUCUACUCUUGGCCUUGAACCUACCUCUGGAUUGGAUCUUACUAUUGUAGCUGCUCACAGCAUCCUCCUGCAUGCUUAGGUAAUGCUUUGGGGGAAUACUGGUAAAACACAGUAUAUAUUUUUUCACCUCCUUUCAGAGGACUUGGAGGUAAGUUGCAUUCAUUCACUGAAGCUUCCCUCUUGCUAUCUGAUGAUAAAAGCUUGCACUUUGUUAUAUCAGCAUUUGUUAGAGCCAAUAUUUAAGAAUAUUUGAUAUCUCUAGUGCAAGACCAACAACAUAUCAAGAGAUCCAUAGACAUGAAAGCAAAGCUCUUGUGUUUUUUUCCAUCCAGACACCUCAAUUUAUUUUAUACAUUUGUUGGUUUUUCCUGUUAUGUUUUAUAUAAUAUAUGGACUUAACUACAAAAUAAAAUAACAGUAAUAAAA